AGCCACGAAUUUAUAAUAUGACUUUAUUUUAUAUGAUAAUAUGAAUUAAAACAUGUAUCUGCCACCAAAAAAAAACCGAUGGCAUUUCCAAAGACUUCAGGUAACUUUCCCCCCCCAUAAUGCAUAGUGUUUUACCAUUGACUCCCAUCCCCCCAACUCUAUAAAUAAGUCAUUGUAUACUGGAUUCACAAAAGCAGUUCUUUUCUCAGCGACAAACCCUAUUGUAAAGAUUUGGCAACAGUUCUCCAGAUGAGAGUCUUUUGAACGUAUUGUUUAUAUUUUUCCAGAUUGAGGUUUUCUGUAAAGUACAUCUCACUAUUUAAAUGUUUUUAGAAAUUCCUCCUG
rnacentral:lncRNA from 1 species